AGCGUAGGCGGAACUACAAGACAGGGGUCAAAUCUCCGGGCUCAACCUGGAACUUGCCUUUGUGACUGUGGUUCUUGAGUAUGGUAGAGGUUGGCGGAAUUUCCGGUGUAGCGGUGGAAUGCGUAGAGAUCGGAAAGAAACACCAGAGGCGAGGGCGGCCAACUGGACCAAUACUGACGCUGAGGCUCGAAAGCGUGGGGAGCAAACAGGAUUAGAUACCCUGGUAGUCCACGCUGUAAACGAUGAACACUAGAUGUCGGGAGGGGUUCCUUCCGGUGUCGUCGCUAACGCAGUAAGUGUUCCGCCUGGGGAGUACGCUCGCAAGGGUGAAA
rnacentral:rRNA from 1 species